UGGUGGAGUGAUUUGUCUGCUUAAUUGCGAUAACGAACGAGACCUUAACCUGCUAAAUAGCCCGACCCGCAUCCGCGGGCCGCUGGCUUCUUAGAGGGACUAUCGGCUCAAGCCGAUGGAAGUUUGAGGCAAUAACA
rnacentral:rRNA from 1 species